UACAGAGGUCCCGAGCGUUGUUCGGAUUCAUUGGGCGUAAAGGGUGCGUAGGCGGCGGGGUAAGUCUGAUGUGAAAUCCUGGGGCUCAACCCUGGAACUGCAUUGGAUACUACCUUGCUAGAGUACUGGAGAGGAAACUGGAAUUUACGGUGUAGCAGUGAAAUGCGUAGAGAUCGUAAGGAAGACCAGUGGCGAAGGCGGGUCUCUGGACAGUUCCUGACACUGAGGCACGAAGGCCAGGGGAGCAAACGGG
rnacentral:rRNA from 1 species